UACGAAGGGGGCUAGCGUUGCUCGGAAUUACUGGGCGUAAAGGGCGCGUAGGCGGAUCGUUAAGUUGGGGGUGAAAGCCCGGGGCUCAACCUCGGAAUUGCCUUCAAUACUGGCGAUCUUGAGUAUGGGAGAGGUGUGUGGAACUCCGAGUGUAGAGGUGAAAUUCGUAGAUAUUCGGAAGAACACCAGUGGCGAAGGCGACACACUGGCCCAUUACUGACGCUGAGGCUCGAAAGCGUGGGGAGCAAACAGG
rnacentral:rRNA from 1 species